rnacentral:rRNA from 1 species
GAUUAAUGCUGGUGGUAUGCAUAACACAUGCAAGUCGAACGAAGAGGGUUUACUCUCUUAGUGGCGAACGGGCGAGUAACACAUAUUUAACUUACCUGCACGAGGAGAAUAGCAACUCGAAAGAGUUAUUAAUACUCCAUAGGUUUGAGACUCAAAUUAAAGGAGCGAGCUGGGAAACCAGUGCUUCGCGAGCAGAGAGGAGUAUGUCCUAUUAGGUUGUUGGUGGGGUAAAAGCCUACCAAGCCGAUGAUGGGUAGCUGGACUGAGAGGUCGACCAGCCGCAAUGGGAUUGAAAUACGGCCCAUAUUCCUACGGGAAGCAGCAGUGAGGAAUUUUUCACAAUGGACGAAAGUCUGAUGGAGCAAUACCAUGUGAACGAUGAAGGUCUUCUGAUUGUAAAGUUCUUUUAUUUAGGAAAAAAAAGCUUGAUAGGAAAUGAUUAAGCCUUGAUUGUACUAAAUGAAUAAGUGACAGCUAACUAUGUGC